ACGCUGGCGGCGGCCUAACACAUGCAAGUCGAGCGCGCCCUUCGGGGUGAGCGGCGGACGGGUUAGUAACGCGUGGGAAUAUGCCCAAAGGUACGGAAUAGCCUCUGGAAACGGAGAGUAAUACCGUAUGUGCCCUUCGGGGGAAAGAUUUAUCGCCUUUGGAUUAGCCCGCGUUAGAUUAGGUAGUUGGUGGGGUAAUGGCCUACCAAGCCUACGAUCUAUAGCUGGUUUUAGAGGAUGAUCAGCAACACUGGGACUGAGACACGGCCCAGACUCCUACGGGAGGCAGCAGUGGGGAAUCUUGGACAAUGGGCGCAAGCCUGAUCCAGCCAUGCCGCGUGAGUGAUGAAGGCCUUAGGGUCGUAAAGCUCUUUCGCCAGGGAUGAUAAUGACAGUACCUGGUAAAGAAACCCCGGCUAACUCCGUGCCAGCAGCCGCGGUAAUACGGAGGGGGUUAGCGUUGUUCGGAAUUACUGGGCGUAAAGCGCGCGUAGGCGGAUCGGAAAGUUGGGGUGAAAUCCCGGGGCUCAACCCCGGAACUGCCUCCAAAACUAUCGGUCUAAAGUUCGAGAGAGGUGAGUGGAAUUCCGAGUGU
rnacentral:rRNA from 1 species